rnacentral:lncRNA from 10 species
GUGUGACAGCUCUUAAGGCAGCGCGUCCGGAGUUGUUCAUUCCUCCUGUUGGAGUCGGCGUCUCGCUAACCUCAGGAGAGAAGCAGCAGACCUUCGUGUGUUGCAGAAGAGAUUAACAUUUGAAUCAGUGGACUGGGAGAGGAAGACCCACCCUCAGGAAGACCCACCCACAUUGUGAGUCUUGGCACCAUCCAAUUGGCUGCCAGUGAGGCUAGAAAAGAGCAGGCAGAAGAAGAUGGAAGAAGCUGACUUGCUGAGUCUUCUGGCCUUCAUCUUUCUCCCAUGCUGGAUGCUUCCUGCCCUCGAACAUCAGACUCCAAGUUCUUCAGCUUUUGGACUCUUGGACUUACACCAGUGGUUUGCCAGGGACAUUUAGGCCUUCAGCCACAGACUGAAGGCUGCACUCUCGGCUUCCCUAAUUUUGAGGUUUUGGGACUUGGACUGAGCCACUAGUGGCUUCCUUGCUCCUCAACUUGCAGAUGGUCUAUUGUGGGACUUCAUUUUGUGGGACUUCACUUUGUGAUCGUGUGAGGCAAUUGUCCUUAAUAAAGUCCCUUUCAUAUAUACAUCUACGCUAUUAGUUCUGUCCCUCUAGAGAACUCUGACUAAUACACUCCUUGAGGAGCAGAACCGUUCAAUAAACGAUUGCUGUGUAAC